UACGGGGGGGGCAAGCGUUGUUCGGAAUUACUGGGCGUAAAGGGCUCGUAGGCGGCCAACUAAGUCAGACGUGAAAUCCCCAGGCUUAACCUGGGAACUGCAUCCGAUACUGGAUGGCUUGAAUCCGGGAGAGGGAUGCAGAAUUCCAGGUGUAGCGGUGAAAUGCGUAGAUAUCUGGAGGAAUACCGGUGGCGAAGGCGGCAUCCUGGACCGGCAUUGACGCUGAUGAGCGAAAAGCUAGGGGAGCAAACGGG
rnacentral:rRNA from 1 species